rnacentral:lncRNA from 10 species
CAAGGCCACUGUUAAAUUGAGCAGAAUCAAGACUGACAGAAAACUCUGGGGUUGGCAAUCAUUAGAUGUGGCCAUGAAAAGGUGUUCUCAGUGGAGUGUGAAGGGAAGUGAUGUGGACCACUUCUGGAGCUGGCCCGCAAAAUCUCCUAAAAGAUCAUCCACGCUCUCUCCCUCAUUUACCAAAUGCAUAGAGAACAUCAAAAGACUUCCUACAAUGUUGGGUUAGUCAAUGAAAAGCUACUGGGGUCCUAAAUCACUGUGAAUCAGACCACCUCACUCAUCCUGCUGACGCAAAUGAACCUUGCGUGAAUACAAAAUUAAAUUUUAUUUCUUUCUUAUUUCUUAUUUUUUUCUUUCUUUUUUUUUUCUUUUUUUUUAGACAGGGUCUCAUUCUGUUACCUAGGCUGGAGUGCAGUGCCUCAUUAAAGCCUUGACCUCCCCAGCCUAAGUGAUCCUCCCACCUCAGCCUCAACCGGAGGUUGGGACCACAGGUGUGCACCACCAAACUUGGCUAAUUUUUUUUUUUUUUUUUGAGAGAUAAAGUCUCCCUAUGUUGCCCAGGCUGGUCUCAAACUCCUGGGUUCAAGGAAUCUUCCCUCCUCUGCCUCUCAAAGCACUGAGAUUACAGGCAUGAGCCACGACAUCCAGCUAAGUUUUCUUUUCAGCAACUGAAGUUUGGAGUUGUUCAUUACAACACUUAACUUAUAUGGACCAGAUCAUUCAUCCGGCCUCAACUGCUGCCUCUUAAACUCUAAGGAAACCCCUCCUGCCAACAAAUGCAAGAAAUAGAUAACAAUCUUAUAUGCUUACAGAAGCUAAUAAGUAAACAAAAGGCGUGAAGCAUGCUGGAUGUAUGGCUGAGGAGAUCAUAUGCCUAGGCUAAAGACAGCAGCAAUCAUUUAAGGAUAGUUUCAUUAUUUUUUUUGUUUUGUUUUCAUUAUUAUGACAGUGUUAACAGUUGGCAGAUACUUGGGGUAUGUGCCUUUGGUUGUCUUAUUCAGCACUUUUUUCUAGGAAGUGCUUGGCUCAUAGAUCACAAUCAAUAUUUUUUUUUCUUUCUUAUAAAAGGAUGAUUGAUUAUGUAAAUUAAAUAUAGGAGGCAGUUUUAAAAACCUUUAUAUUUGUCAGUAUACUCCUCUUAUCCUCUAACUAGG